UAGAAAAUUAGAAAAAGAAUAUGUUAGUACUUUUUAGACAUCAUCGUUUUCCCCCUAAUUUCACUCAUGGCCAAAAAUUGGGGUUUUGGUCAUGAUUUCACAGCUGCUGACAUCCAAUUUCGCUCAACAAAAUUCGACAUUUUCCAGAAUGCUCUCUAUUCUGUUAUAGCUAGCAAAAAAGUGGGGUUUUGUUUCAGACACGAUUAAUCCUUACUCAGCAACCAGGAAACUCACUUAGGCACUAAACUUGCUAGAAAGUGAAUUUAAGAUACCUCCACUCAGUGCCUCACUCUUGAGCGAUAUUUCUCAAUCAUUCUUGCAAGUACCACCCUGUGCUCGGUGGGUUGUGGAGGAGAAAGCUGAAGUUGUGUGCCUAACCUGAAAGAUGCCUGAAUGCUGUGACAAAGCUGUGGAAAUCUUGGUUGAAAAGCACACUCCCUUUGAACCAAUUGAUCACGCUUUUGGCUUUUCAGAUGAACCCACUUUUUGCUCUCGUCAUGGAUGCGAAAAAAAAGAUGCUUCCGUCUGCUGAUCUGGUUAUCGAAUUCAAACGACAGGAAGAAACGCUCAUAAUGAAGAUCGGGUUACCUGGUAAAAUGUGCAAGACGGAUGAUAUCAACAUAGAGGUCAAGGAUGCACUGUAGGUGAAAGUGAAGAGGGUUGAUGAUUUUGAGAUCAGGUUUGCCCUGAAUAUAAAUCAAGCAUUAAGAAGCUUUGUGGUAAAGUCAUAUUUAUAACUUUAUUAGCAAUAAGGAGGAUUAGUAGUAUUUAUUGAACCUGGAAUUCUUAAGGAAUUUAAAGAUAAAGUAUAUGGUUAUUAAGAAAAGGUCAA